CUGAGGGGAUUUAUUCUUCUUAUUGAUCUGCUUAUUAUGCAAUUGGUUCAUUAAUUAACCACCAAUUUGUCUUUAAUUAUUGAGUGGUGAAUCGAGGUUGUGAAUGGGAAGGAGAUGAUGGUGGAACUCUUUGUACAUCCCAUUCCAUUCAAACGCUUCAACACACUGCAUUUUAUUUUCUCGAAUCGAAUGAGAGUUGCCUUUUGCAAAUGUGUAUUUUGGUGAAUAAAAUUAGACUAUGUAAUUAAUUGGAAGUAUAUUAAUUGCAUGAUGUGUACGCACCAACAUUGCAAUUUCAUGCGGAAAGGGAUUGCUGCCUGUGCAAAUAGGAUUUUUCUCAAUAAAGCUGGCAUUCAGUUAAAUAAGAAGCGG
rnacentral:lncRNA from 1 species